AUGGAUGUUAAGACUGCUUUCCUAAAUGGAGAGUUGGAUGAGGAAAUUUAUAUGGAACAACCAGAUGGGUUUGUACUAGAUGGUCAGGAAGGAAAAGUUUGCAAGUUGCUGAAGUCUUUGUAUGGACUCAAGCAAGCACCCAAACAGUGGCAUGAGAAGUUUGAAAGAACUUUAACCGCUGCAGGCUUCGUUGUAAACGAAGCUGAUAAAUGUGUGUAUUAUCGCCAUGGUGGGGGCGAAGGAGUUAUUCUUUGCUUGUAUGUUGAUGACAUACUGAUUUUUGGAACAAAUCUAAAUGUUAUUAAGGAGGUCAAGGAUUUCCUAUCUCGUUGUUUUGAGCUGAAGGAUUUAGGAGUGGCUGAUGUCAUUUUGAACAUCAAGUUGUUGAGAGACGAUGAUGGUGGGAUUACAUUGCUUCAGUCUCACUAUGUGGAAAAUAUCUUGAGUCGCUUUGGCUAUAGUGACUGCAAGCCCUCUCCAACACCAUAUGAUGCGAGUGUGUUACUUCGAAAGAAUCGAAGAAUUGCUAGAGAUCAAUUGAAAUAUUCUCAGAUUAUUGGCUCGCUUAUGUACUUAGCCAGUGCUACAAGACCUGACAUCUCUUUUGCUGUUAGCAAACUGAGUCGGUUUGUCUCAAAACCAGGAGAUGUGCAUUGGAAAGCUCUAGAGAGAGUUUUGCAUUAUUUGAAAGGCACUGCGAAUUAUGGAAUUCACUACACUGGGCACCCAAAGGUGCUUGAAGGGUAUAGUGACUCAAACUGGAUCUCAGAUGCUGAUGAGAUAAAGGCCACGAGCGGUUAUGUAUUCACUCAUGGAGGUGGCGCUGUUUCUUGGAAGUCUUGCAAGCAGACCAUCUUAACGAGGUCAACAAUGGAAGCAGAACUCACAACACUAGAAACAACUACGGUCGAAGCAGAUUGGCUUCGCCGGCUCUUGAAUGACUUGCCGGCUGUUGAGAAACCUGUACCGGGUAUCCUUAUGAACUGCGACAAUCAAACUGUGAUCACAAAAGUGAGCAGCUCAAAGGAUAACAUGAAGUCAUCAAGACACGUUCAGAGAAGGUUAAAGUCUGUCAGGAAAAUGAGAAACUCCGGAGUUAUUGCAUUGGAUUAUAUCCAAAAGUCUAAAAAUCUGGCAGAUCCUUUUACUAAGGGUCUAUCACGUAAUGUGAUAGAUAAUGCAUCGAGGGAGAUGGGUAUGAGCCCACAAUAUGAGUUGUUCACAGUGGUAACCUAUUCUUUGUGA
rnacentral:rRNA from 1 species